rnacentral:rRNA from 1 species
UACGUAGGGGGCAAGCGUUGUCCGGAUUUAUUGGGCGUAAAGAGCGUGUAGGCGGCCAAGCAGGUCCGCUGUGAAAACUCGAGGCUCAACCUCGAGACGUCGGUGGAAACCGUUUGGCUAGAGUCCGGAAGAGGAGAGUGGAAUUCCCGGUGUAGCGGUGAAAUGCGCCAGGAUAUCGGGAAGAACACCCGUGGCGAAGGCGGCUCUCUCGGGACGGUACUG